GCCGGAGUGGUGAAAUGGUAGACACAGCAGACUCAAAAUCUGCCGGGGGCAACCCCAUGUUGGUUCGAGUCCGACCUCCGGUACCA
rnacentral:tRNA from 1 species